GGUCAGGCGGGACUACCCGCUGAAUUUAAGCAU
rnacentral:rRNA from 5 species